AUACGGAGGAUGCGAGCGUUAUCCGGAUUUAUUGGGUUUAAAGGGUGCGUAGGCGGACGAUUAAGUCAGCUGUGAAAUGCCCGCGCUUAACGCGGGAAGUGCAGUUGAUACUGGUUGUCUGGAGUGCCGUUGCCGUGGGGGGAAUGUGUAGUGUAGCGGUGAAAUGCAUAGAUAUUGCACAGAACGCCGAUUGUGAAGACACCUCACGAAGCGGUAACUGACGCUGAGGCACGAAAGCGUGGGGAUCGAACAGGAUUAGAUACCCUGGUAGUCCACGCAGUAAACGAUGAUGACUAACCGUCGGCGAUAGACCACCGGUGGCCAAGCGAAAGCGAUAAGUCAUCCACCUGGGGAGUACGACCGCAAGGUUGAAACUCAAAGGAAUUGACGGGG
rnacentral:rRNA from 1 species